UAGGGAAUCUUCGGCAAUGGACGGAAGUCUGACCGAGCAACGCCGCGUGAGUGAAGAAGGUUUUCGGAUCGUAAAGCUCUGUUGUAAGAGAAGAACGAGUGUGAGAGUGGAAAGUUCACACUGUGACGGUAUCUUACCAGAAAGGGACGGCUAACUACGUGCCAGCAGCCGCGGUAAUACGUAGGUCCCGAGCGUUGUCCGGAUUUAUUGGGCGUAAAGCGAGCGCAGGCGGUUAGAUAAGUCUGAAGUUAAAGGCUGUGGCUUAACCAUAGUACGCUUUGGAAACUGUUUAACUUGAGUGCAAGAGGGGAGAGUGGAAUUCCAUGUGUAGCGGUGAAAUGCGUAGAUAUAUGGAGGAACACCGGUGGCGAAAGCGGCUCUCUGGCUUGUAACUGACGCUGAGGCUCGAAAGCGUGGGGAGCAAACAGGAUUAGAUACCCUGGUAGUCCACGCCGUANCGAUGAGUGCUAGGUGUUAGACCCUUUCCGGGGUUUAGUGCCGCAGCUAACGCAUUAAGCACUCCGCCUGGGGAGUAUGACCGCAAGGUU
rnacentral:rRNA from 1 species